GCGCGUUGAAAGAGCUGCAACCAGCUUAACCGGACGUGACUCUCCCUCCGUCACGUUUUCACAAAUCACUUUACCUUCCCGUGUAAAUUUCGCGAUAACGCGUGUUUAAUGCUUUAUCAUCAUCUGUUCACUCAUCUUCCAAUCAUCCACUUAUUGUUUAGACGUGAACGCGAUAAAACAUCCUCAGUUUUCAAAAAUAAUUUUCCUGUUCGUCUUUCUCUCCUCCGCAAAGGUGAUUGAUUGAAAACAAAACAAAUUUCACAACACAGCGGCAGCGGAUUGUUGAAAACCAAGUGUGCUUGUUAACAACUACUAAAGGAAACUGUUGCACAGAAACAUCAUUAGCUUUAUUGUUGGUCGAUCCUAGAUAGCCUUAGUAAGCUAGUUUAUAGUUCGGAUUUUUUAUGAAAAUAGUUGUGACAUUUGUAUAAUAAUGGUCGUAGAGUUUACGGGUUUUGAAGAAAGUUGUGAUUUACCAGUCAUCUUUCAGCGUACCACAUAAGGAAAAUCGUCAAUUCUUAGAAAAAGUUCAACGGCCUUCCUGACCAAGUGCUUUAUUAGCGAGUGCCUGUGCGUGUGUGUUUGUGAUAGUAGAUCUGCUAUUAGUGUAGUAGUAUUACUUAUUCAAAAGAAAGCA
rnacentral:misc_RNA from 1 species